rnacentral:lncRNA from 10 species
CAGACUUGACCUUUGCUGGGAUUUGCUGGGCUUUGCUGGGCUUUGCUGGGUCUUGGCUGCAGCCCAGGGCACAUUUCGUGUUCUCGGCACACUCGCUGGGUCCCUGGUGGAACUGCUCAUCCAGGCAUCCCCCUCUUCCUGCCAAGGGGUGGGCCUGGAACGGGAGCCAAUGGGAGAGAGACAGAGCCAUGGCGAAUGGCCACAUGCACUCCUGUUGGGGUGGGCUCCUGCAGCAGAGAAGCUCCCAGGCCCCCCACCCAAGCCAGGGUUUCUAGGCCUCCGUCAUUCUAUGGGGGCCCCACUGCCUUCCAGCCGUCUCCUGUUUGCUCCAGUCAGCCUGAACUGGUUUUGUUGUCUGCAGCCUAGGAGCCCAGUCCAGGAGCUGAGGGAGAGACAGAGAAGACGAGGUCCUUUCUGGUAAGGGACACACUCGAAGUGCGGGAGGCAGAGCCGAGAACAGCCAGAUCGAAUGUGAGGCUGAAGAGUGAAAUGGCCAGUGAUGAUGAUAACGGGGAGAUAACAGCGCCGCUGCCCCUCCUCUCCUGGCCGUGUGCCAGGCGCUGCGCCGGGCACAUGAUACACAUCUCUUCUUCUAGUCUUCACAAUGGCCAUGAGUCAAAGAAGUCUGGGAGAAUAUUACGUAAAAGUGAAACAGCACAAGUUUGGAUAUUGUCAAUGUGGAGCAGGCAGGUAAUGAGGUCCCCCUUCCCUCUUUGAUGGGAGCAUGGCAGGGUCCAGAUGCCUCAGGACCGGGGCUUGUUAGCAGAGGGGAGUCCAUGGCCCUGUGCUCUUCUGUGUCCUUCAAAGAGUUCCUCGCUAGGUCCUCUGCCAACGCCCUCAGGGAGACCACUUUGUAACAGGAAAAAAAGCUUUUCAAAUGACAUGCUCUUCACUCAUUUUUAGCGUACCUUUGAGAAAUUAAGAUACAUACUUGUGACAAAAUAUGACAUGAUACUGUGUUCCAUAUAAACCAGGG